CCCUCUGACCUUCUGCCCUCUCGUGCUCUCUCUCACUGUCUCUCUCUCAAAUAAAUAAACUCUUUAAAAAAAAGCAAGCGGAGUGACUUUGAAAGGCACCACACGCCCACAAAUGGCAGUAAAUAUUUUUCAUUCACACAAACUCAUUUCUAAAUCUGUCAGGGUCCCUAGAGGAAACCAAAUUCCACGGGAAGAUAGCUGAAGCCCAGAGGCUUUGAAAAGUGCCAUUGUUGCUUCCCUGAGGAGCUUGGGGUCCUUUUUCUGGGGAGGUUUUAGGAAAUGGAAGAAGUCUUUUGAAAUGGGUAGGGCCUUGCCUUUCAACAACAGACCUGAAGUAGUCAUUAAAUAUGUAUGUGCAAAGCCUCUUUCCUCAAUGAGCCUAUUGUCUAGGAGGGGAAUAAUAAUGAUAAAAUAAUAGUAGUUAUCAGCUUUCCCACCUCCUAGCUACAUGAUCCUGGGCAAGUGGUUGAACCGCUCUGGUGCCUCACUUCCCUUAUCUGUAAAACGGGGGUGAUACAGUACCUGUGUCCCAGUGCUGUUGUGAGGACGGCAUGAGUGAACACACACGGUGUGGGCGGGGUACGGUAAACACUGUGAGCGACCGCAAGUACUCCAGAGUACUUUGUAAGAGGCCUUCCCUGUGUAUCCUAUGUGCUUUAACUCUCUUGGCUUCUACAACAAUCCCACGAAGUGGGUUUUCUUUUUCUUACUUAUGGACAAGCUGAAGCUCAGAGAGGUUAAGCCAUAGGUUCAGGGUCCCACAGCUAGGAUAGGGUAGCAUUCCAACGGGGCCAGGUCUGACUGGGAAGCUUAUGCGUUAAAUACUCCGGGCGUUCUUCUUAUGCUGCGACACGGGGCAGCCUGUGUUAGUAACACACGACUGUUUCCAGGUUUGGAGCGGAGUGUGGGGCCGCACUCCAGGCAGAGGGGAAGAGCAGGGGAAGGUGUGGACGUGAAGCGGGUGGAGAAGUUCAGCAAGGCAGGGCGGGGUGGGAGGGGGUAGAGAAGGACUAAGACGAACUUAGAAUGACACACGAGACCACGCAGGCUGGUGUCUGACCGUGCUCAGGAAGGAAAGGAAAAGGCUCUCACCCGUUUGCCCAUUCUGGAGAGCACAUCACAACCAUCAGCCCUGGAAUGCAAAGACCAGAAUAAACCUGAGGAAACCUCCAAACGAGCC